CACGUAGGGGGCGAGCGUUGUCCGGAUUUAUUGGGCGUAAAGAGCUCGUAGGCGGCUCAGUAAGUCAGGUGUGAAAACUCCAGGCUCAACCUGGAGACGCCACCUGAUACUGCUGUGGCUAGAGUCCGGUAGGGGAGCAUGGAAUUCCUGGUGUAGCGGUGAAAUGCGCAGAUAUCAGGAGGAACACCAGUGGCGGAAGGCGGUGCU
rnacentral:rRNA from 1 species